rnacentral:rRNA from 1 species
AAACUUUGCAAUAAGCGCAAGCUUGACAGGGCUAUCCCGAGUGCCAUCCGCUGAGGAAGGCUUUUACCCAGUCUAGAACGCUGGGGGAAUAAGGAGAGGGCAAGUCUGGUGUCAGCCGCCGCGGUAAUACCAGCUCUCCGAGUGGUGUGGAUGUUUAUUGGGCCUAAAGCAUCCGUAGCUGGCUAAGUUAGUCCUCUGUUAAAUCCACCGAAUUAAUCAUUGGAUCGCGGGGGAUACUGCUUGGCUAGGGGACGAGAGAGGCAGACGGUAUUUUCGGGGUAGGGGCGAAAUCCUAUAAUCCCGGGAAGACCACCAGUGGCGAAGGCUGUCUGCUAGAACGCGCCCGACGGUGAGGGAUGAAAGCUGGGGGAGCGAACCGGAUUAGAUACCCGGGUAGUCCCAGCUGUAAACGAUGCAGACUAGGUGUUUGGACGGCCACGUGCCGUUCUAGUGCCGCAGGGAAGCUGUUAAGUCUGCCGCCUGGGGAGUACGAUCGCAAGAUUGAAACUUAA